AUGGGAUGGACCUGGAUCAUCCUCUUCCUUGUGUCAGUAACUACAGGUGUUCAAUCACAGGUCCAGCUGCAGCAGUCUGGGCCUGAGAUUGGGAGACCUGGUUCCUCAGUGAAGUUGUCAUGCAAGGCUUCAGGCUACACUUUCAGUAGAUACAAUAUGAACUGUGUGAGACAGUGGCCAGGACAAGGCCUGGAGUGGAUUGGAUGGAUUGGUACUACAAGUGGAAAUACUAAAUAUGCACAAAAGUUCCAGGGCAAGACCACACUGACUAGAGACAUAUCCUCCAGCACGGCAUACAUGGAGCUCAGCAGCCUGACAUCUGAGGACUCUGCCAUCUAUUUCUGUGCAAGAGACACAGUCGAUUACUGGGGAAAAGGUAACUUAUGA